rnacentral:rRNA from 1 species
CACCGCCCGUCACACCAUGGGAGUGGGUUGCACCAGAAGUCAAUAGACUAACCGCAAGGAGGUCGUUGACCACGGUGUGAUUCAUGACUGGGGUG